rnacentral:rRNA from 1 species
UACGUAGGGUGCAAGCGUUGUCCGGAAUUAUUGGGCGUAAAGAGCUCGUAGGCGGUUUGUUGCGUCGGCUGUGAAAUCCCGAGGCUCAACCUCGGGUCUGCAGUCGAUACGAGCAAACUAGAGUGUUGCAGGGGAGACUGGAAUUCCUGGUGUAGCGGUGAAAUGCGCAGAUAUCGGGGAGGAACACCAGUGGCGAAGGCGGCUCUCUGGGCCCUACCUGACGCUGAGACGCGAAAGCGUGGGGAGCGAACCGG